GACGAACGCUGGCGGCGUGCCUAAUACAUGCAAGUCGAACGCACAGUUUAUACCGUAGCUUGCUACACCAUAAACUGUGAGUUGCGAACGGGUGAGUAACGCGUAGGUAACCUGCCUGGUAGCGGGGGAUAACUAUUGGAAACGAUAGCUAAUACCGCAUAAUAUUGAUUAUUGCAUGAUAAUUGAUUGAAAGAUGCUAUUGCAUCACUACCAGAUGGACCUGCGUUGUAUUAGCUAGUAGGUGAGGUAACGGCUCACCUAGGCGACGAUACAUAGCCGACCUGAGAGGGUGAUCGGCCACACUGGGACUGAGACACGGCCCAGACUCCUACGGGGGGCAGCAGUAGGGAAUCUUCGGCAAUGGACGAAAGUCUGACCGAGCAACGCCGCGUGAGUGAAGAAGGUUUUCGGAUCGUAAAGCUCUGUUGUAAGAGAAGAACGGGUGUGAGAGUGGAAAGUUCACACUGUGACGGUAUCUUACCAGAAAGGGACGGCUAACUACGU
rnacentral:rRNA from 1 species